AUUCUCUUCACUUCGAAGAGCCCAGUGGUCUACCAUGUGCAUGCUGGUGGAGCUGCACACACAGAGUCAAGAUCGCUUUGUCUACACCUGCAAUGAGUGCAAGCACCACGUGGAGACACGCUGGCACUGCACUGUGUGUGAGGAUUAUGACCUGUGUAUCACCUGUUACAACACUAAAAAUCAUGACCACAAAAUGGAGAAAUUAGGCCUGGGCUUGGAUGACGAGAGCAACAACCAGCAAGCCGCAGCCACACAGAGCCCAGGAGACUCUCGUCGCCUGAGCAUCCAACGCUGCAUCCAGUCGCUGGUGCACGCCUGCCAGUGCCGCAAUGCCAACUGCUCCCUCCCUUCCUGCCAGAAGAUGAAGAGGGUGGUGCAGCACACCAAAGGCUGCAAACGGAAAACCAACGGUGGGUGCCCCAUUUGCAAGCAGCUCAUUGCCCUUUGCUGCUACCAUGCCAAGCACUGCCAGGAGAACAAGUGCCCGGUGCCGUUCUGCCUCAACAUCAAACAGAAGCUCCGGCAGCAGCAGCUGCAGCACCGGCUCCAACAGGCUCAGAUGCUGCGCAGGAGGAUGGCCAGCAUGCAACGGACUGGGGUGGCGGGGCAGCAGCAGGGCCUGCCGUCCCCAACUCCUGCUACUCCAACUACCCCAACUGGCCAACAGCCAGCCACCCCACAGACACCCCAGCCCCAACCCACCUCUCAACCGCAGCCCACUCCUCCCAACAACAUGACACCCUACUUACCCAGGACUCAAACUGCUGGCCCUGUGUCCCAGGGUAAGGCAGCAGGCCAAGUAACCCCACCAACCCCACCUCAGACUGCUCAGCCCCCACUUCCAGGGCCUCCACCCGCAGCAGUAGAGAUGGCAAUGCAGAUUCAGAGGGCAGCAGAGACACAGCGCCAGAUGGCCCAUGUACAAAUUUUCCAAAGGCCAAUCCAGCACCAGAUGGCACCUAUGGCCCCUAUGGGUAUGAACCCACCUCCUAUGGCCAGAGGUCCUGGUGGACAUUUGGAUCCAGGAAUGGGUCCCGCAGGAAUGCAGCAGCAGCCACCUUGGGCCCAAGGAGGAAUGCCUCAGCCCCAGCAGAUGCAGUCAGGGAUGCCAAGGCCAGCCAUGAUGUCAGUGGCCCAGCAUGGUCAGCCUUUGAACAUGGCUCCACAGCCAGGAUUGGGCCAAGUAGGUGUGAGCCCUCUCAAGCCAGGCACUGUGUCUCAACAAGCCUUACAAAACCUUUUGCGGACUCUCAGGUCUCCCAGUUCUCCCUUACAGCAGCAACAGGUGCUUAGUAUCCUUCAUGCCAACCCCCAACUGUUGGCUGCAUUCAUCAAGCAGCGGGCUGCCAAGUAUGCCAACUCUAAUCCACAGCCUCUCCCUGGACAGCCUGGCAUGCCCCAGGGACAGCCAGGGCUGCAGCCACCGACCAUGCCAGGUCAGCAAGGUGUCCACUCCAACCCAGCCUUGCAGAACAUGAAUCCUAUGCAGGCAGGAGUCCAGAGAGCUGGCUUGCCUCAGCAGCAGCCUCAGCAGCAGCUCCAGCCACCCAUGGGAGGGAUGAGUCCCCAAGCUCAGCAAAUGAACAUGAAUCACAACACCAUGCCUUCACAGUUCAGAGACAUCUUAAGACGUCAGAUGAUGCAACAGCAGGGAGCAGGGCCAGGAAUUGGCCCUGGAAUGGCCAACCACAACCAGUUCCAGCAGCCCCAAGGAAUUGGCUAUCCACCCCAACAGCAGCAGCAGCAGCAACAGCAGCGAAUGCAGCAUCACAUGCAGCAAAUGCAGCAAGGAAAUAUGGGACAGAUGGGUCAGCUUCCCCAGGCUUUGGGGGCUGAGGCGGGAGCCAGUCUACAGGCCUAUCAGCAGCGACUCCUUCAGCAGCAGAUGGGGUCUCCUGCUCAGCCCAACCCUAUGAGCCCACAGCAGCAUAUGCUCCCAAAUCAGGCACAGUCCCCACACCUACAAGGUCAACAAAUCCCUAAUUCUCUCUCCAAUCAAGUGCGCUCUCCCCAGCCUGUCCCUUCUCCUCGACCACAGUCUCAGCCCCCCCAUUCCAGCCCGUCUCCGAGGAUGCAGCCUCAGCCUUCUCCACACCAUGUUUCUCCACAGACCAGUUCCCCACACCCUGGACUGGUAGCUGCCCAGGCUGCCAACCCCAUGGAACAAGGGCAUUUUGCCAGCCCAGACCAGAAUUCAAUGCUUUCACAGCUCGCUAGCAAUCCAGGCAUGGCAAACCUCCACGGUGCAAGUGCCACGGACCUGGGACUGAGCGCCGAUAGUGCAGACUUGAGUUCAAACCUCUCACAGAGUACACUAGACAUACACUAGAGACACCUUGUAGUAUUUUGGGAGCAAAAGAUUAUUUUCUCUUAACAAGACUUUUUGUACUGAAAACAAUUUUUUUGAAUCUUUCUUAGCCUAAAAGACCCAUUUUCCUUGGAACAUGUAAGAACUGUGCAGUAGCCAUUUAUGGUUUAAAGCAAACAUGCCAGAUGAACCUGAGGGAUAAUAGAUUACAGAGAAUAUAUUUUUGUUAUGGCUGGUUACCCCAGCCCUUUUUCCCCCUUGUGUGUGUGGUUCAAGUGUGCACUGGGAGGCAACUGAGGUCUGAAGCCAACCAUAUGCUCCUGCCUUGCACCUCCAAUAGGUUUUAUUAUUUUUUUUAAAUUAAUGAAAAUAUGUAAUAUUAAUAGUUAUUAUUUACUGGUGCAGAUGGUUGACAUUUUUCCCUAUUUUCCUCACUUUAUGAAAGAAUUUAAAAAAAAAGAACAUUUCUAAAACCAGAGGACAAAAGGGGUUAAUGUUACGUAAAAUUACAUUAUAUAUAUAUAUAUAUAAAUAUAUAUAAAUAUAUUAAAAUACCAAUUUUUUUCUCUGGGUGCAAAGAUGUUCAUUCUUUUAAAAACAUUUAAAAAAAUUAAAAAGCCUCCUCUUUCCACCCCUCAAGUCAACUUUUGUGCUCCAGAAAAUUUUCUAUUCCGUAAGUCUAAGGGUAAAACUUCAAGUAUUAAGAUAAUUUGUACAUGUAGAGAAAAAAAAUGACUUUUUCAUAAUAUACAGGGGCAGCUGCCAAAUUGAUGUAUUAUAAUAUUGUGGUUUCUGUUUCUUGAGAGAAUUUUUUUGUUAUUUUUACAUCUAACAAAGGAAAAAAAAAAAGAGGGUAAGAAAUGACUCCAGUGGGGUGAUUUUAACAUGCAAAUGUCUGAGGUUUCUUCACUUGCUUUCUUCCUUACUCUGCCCCACACGUACACUUUCUGUAAAACUUGAAAAUAGAAAGCAAAAACCCUCAACUGUUGUAAAUCAUGCAAUUAAGGUUGAUUACUUAUAAAUAUGAACUUUGGAUCACUGUAUAGACUGUUAAAUUUGAUUUCUUAUUACCUAUUGUUAAAUAAACUGUGUGAGACAGAC
rnacentral:lncRNA from 1 species